rnacentral:lncRNA from 1 species
UGGGCCACCGGGCGGCGGUUGCGGAGAAGGAUGGACGGACGCACGCACGCCGCAACCAGGAAAAAAGGAAAAGGGCGCGGAGGAGGAAGCACGGGAUGGCCGCCGUGGCUAUGAUACCCAGGAGGACGAGAUGAUGCAUUUAAGACAGGCCCGGCCGGGUGGCGGCUGCACCUGGCCGUGAAGAUACGAGGAAAGGACCAAACCAGGACUGAGGAUGACCGGCGCCCGGCGAGGCAGCGUGGAACGCAGCGGAGCCAGCGUGACUCCACCACGGUGCCGUGAGAAUGUGGCAGCCAGCGGGACCCAUCGGGGUAGCGAGACGCGGCGGGGGAAAGCCAGCUGAGGCGCACCGACAGCGGACGCGGCGGAGCCAGCAGGACCCACCGGCGGAGAGGCACGCGCUGGACCGGCGGAGGCGUACCCCCAGAGGAAAGCGCGGUCGUGGCCUGGUCUGGGCCUUCAACAGGACUCUGUUUAGUUCCUUGUCUCCAUAAGUGCUUGUAGGUGGUCACUAUAAGAAUGGCCCAAAUGGAAAUAUGAUGCUAUUGCAGAAAACAAAACAAAAAACAGCCCUAGUGCACUCGGGCAAGUCAUGUUGGAGCAUCAAGCCGGCGGCUGGAGGCGUAAAGCCAGCAACUGAGUCCUCAACUUCCAUGGUGCAUCGCGGCUUGCUAGCGCUGGUCCGGAGGCUUCUGUGUAGCUGGGCAGGGUCGGAUGCUCGGGGUCCCGGAAUGGCUCGUCCGGAGAGCGCAACGCGAUUAACACUCACCUGGGUCCUGAUGGUGUGCCCGCCCCUCCUUUUUGUACCAUUCUUUUAACUGCUGUGAUAACUUCAUCUUAUGUACCUGGAUCCUACAAACGUAUGGACCUGUGUUUGGAUGUCCGAGAUAAUGCUGAACCUUUUGUAUGAACUGAACUUGUCUAAAGAAAUGCAUAUCUUAGAGAGAAUAAAUCC